GACGUAGGGCGCGAGCGUUGUCCGGAUUUAUUGGGCGUAAAGAGCUCGUAGGCGGUUUGUCGCGUCUGCUGUGAAAACCCGAGGCUCAACCUCGGGCCUGCAGUGGGUACGGGCAGACUAGAGUGCGGUAGGGGAGAUUGGAAUUCCAGGUGUAGCGGUGAAAUGCGUAGAUAUCUGGAGGAACACCGGUGGCGAAGGCGGCAUCCUGGACCGGCAUUGACGCUGAGGAGCGAAAGCCAGGGGAGCAAACGGG
rnacentral:rRNA from 1 species